rnacentral:rRNA from 1 species
CCUACGGGAGGCAGCAGUGAGGAAUAUUGGUCAAUGGGCGCGAGCCUGAACCAGCCAAGUAGCGUGAAGGAUGACUGCCCUACGGGUUGUAAACUUCUUUUAUAAAGGAAUAAAGUGAGGCACGUGUGCCUUUUUGUAUGUACCUUAUGAAUAAGGAUCGGCUAACUCCGUGCCAGCAGCCGCGGUAAUACGGAGGAUCCGAGCGUUAUCCGGAUUUAUUGGGUUUAAAGGGAGCGUAGAUGGAUUGUUAAGUCAGUUGUGAAAGUUUGCGGCUCAACCGUAAAAUUGCAGUUGAUACUGGCAGCCUUGAGUACAGUAGAGGUAGGCGGAAUUCGUGGUGUAGCGGUGAAAUGCUUAGAUAUCACGAAGAACUCCGAUUGCGAAGGCAGCUUACUAGACUGCCACUGACAUUGAGGCUCGAAAGUGUGGGUAUCAAACAGGAUUAGAUACCCGAGUAGUC